GCCAUAUCCCGUUGAAACACCUGUUUCCAUACGAUCACCAAAGUUAAGCAACGCCGGACCUGUUCAGUAUGUAGUGGUGUGACCGCUUGGGAAUACCAGGUAC